rnacentral:rRNA from 1 species
GUGGGGAAUAUUGGACAAUGGCCGGAAGGCUGAUCCAGCCAUGCCGCGUGAAGGAAUAAGGUCCUAUGGAUUGUAAACUUCUUUUGUACGAGAGCAAUAAGUGUCACGUGUGACACGAUGAGAGUAUCGUACGAAUAAGCAUCGGCUAACUCCGUGCCAGCAGCCGCGGUAAUACGGAGGAUGCGAGCGUUAUCCGGAUUUAUUGGGUUUAAAGGGUGCGUAGGCGGGAUUUUAAGUCAGCGGUGAAACGCAAGGGCUCAACCCUUGACCUGCCGUUGAAACUGGAGUUCUUGAAUGCGGAUGCUGUGGGAGGAAUGUGUGGUGUAGCGGUGAAAUGCAUAGAUAUCACACAGAACACCGAUUGCGAAGGCAUCUCACAAAUCCGUGAUUGACGCUGAGGCACGAAAGUGUGGGGAUCAAACAGG